GACGGAGGAUGCAAGCGUUAUCCGGAAUUAUUGGGCGUAAAGCGUCCGUAGGUGGUUACGAAAGUCUGUUGUUAAAGCCCACAGCUCAACUGUGGAUCGGCGAUGGAAACUGCGUGACUUGAGUGUGGUAGGGGUAGAGGGAAUUCCUAGUGUAGCGGUGAAAUGCGUAGAUAUUAGGAAGAACACCAGUGGCGAAGGCGCUCUACUGGGCCAUAACUGACACUGAUGGACGAAAGCUAGGGGAGCGAAAGGG
rnacentral:rRNA from 1 species